AGGGAAUUUUGCGCAAUGGACGGAAGUCUGACGCAGCAACGCCGCGUGAAGGAUGAAGGCCUUCGGGUUGUAAACUUCUGUUGGAUGGGAAAAAAAGCCUUUUAAGAGGAAUUGAUGGUACCAUUCGAGUAAGCACCGGCUAACUACGUGCCAGCAGCCGCGGUAAUACGUAGGGUGCGAGCGUUGUUCGGAAUCACUGGGCGUAAAGGGAGCGUAGGCGGAACUGUAAGUUAGAAGUUUAAUACAUGGGCUCAACCCGUGGUUUGCUUUUAAUACUGCGGUUCUUGAGUAUGGGAGAGGGCGAUGGAAUUCCAGGUGUAGCGGUGGAAUGCGUAGAUAUCUGGAAGAACACCAGUAGCGAAGGCGGUCGCCUGGCCCAAUACUGACGCUGAGGCGCGAAAGCUGGGGGAGCAAAC
rnacentral:rRNA from 1 species